GGUCCAGCAAUGGAUGCUGACGAGUGGCGCACGGGUGCGUAACACGUAUGCAACCUACCUUUAACUGGGGGAUAGCCCCGAGAAAUCGGGAUUAAUACCCCAUAUUAUUGUGAUGAGGCAUCUCAUUGCAAUCAAAGCUCCGGCGGUUAAAGAUGGGCAUGCGCGACAUUAGCUAGUUGGUGAGGUAACGGCUCACCAAGGCUGCGAUGUCUAGGGGUUCUGAGAGGAUUCACCCCCACACUGGUACUGAGACACGGACCAGACUCCUACGGGAGGCAGCAGUAAGGAAUAUUGGUCAAUGGACGCAAGUCUGAACCAGCCAUGCCGCGUGCAGGAAGACGGCCCUACGGGUUGUAAACUGCUUUUGUACGGGAAAAAACCCCUGGUCGUGAAUCAGGGCUGAUGGUACCGUAAGAAUAAGCAUCGGCUAACUCCGUGCCAGCAGCCGCGGUAAUACGGAGGAUGCAAGCGUUAUCCGGAUUCCUUGGGUUUAAAGGGUGCGCAGGCGGAAUGAUAAGUCAGUGGUGAAAUCCUACGGCUCAACUGUAGAACUGCCAUUGAUACUGUCAUUCUUGAGUAUACUUGAAGUGGGCGGAAUGUGUCAUGUAGCGGUGAAAUGCUUAGAUAUGACAAGGAACACCGAUCGCGAAGGCAGCUCACUAAAGUAAAACUGACGCUCAGGCACGAAAGCGUGGGGAUCAAACAGGAUUAGAUACCCUGGUAGUCCACGCUGUAAACGAUGAUUACUCGAUGUUGGCGAUAUACAGUCAGCGUCUAAGCGAAAGCAUUAAGUAAUCCACCUGGGGAGUACGGCCGCAAGGUUGAAACUCAAAGGAAUUGACGGGGGCCCGCACAAGCGGAGGAGCAUGUGGUUUAAUUCGAUGAUACGCGAGGAACCUUACCUGGGCUAGAACGCUGGACGACCGUCCGGGAAACCGGAUCUCCCUUCGGGGCGGCCAGCGAGGUGCUGCAUGGUUGUCGUCAGCUCGUGCCGUGAGGUGUCGGGUUAAGUCCCAUAACGAGCGCAACCCCUAUCAUUAGUUGCCAUCAGGUCAUGCUGGGAACUCUAA
rnacentral:rRNA from 1 species